rnacentral:rRNA from 1 species
GCUUCUUUACAGUUCACAUCCGCCUGGGUACUACAAGCACAGCUUGAAACUCAAAGGACUUGGCGGUCUCUCAGAUCCAUCUAGAGGAGCCUGUUCUAGAACCGAUACUCCCCGUUUAACCUCACCACUCCUUGCUUCCCCAGCCUAUAUACCGCCGUCGUCAGCUUACCCUGUGAAGGUUAAAAAGUGAGCAAAAAGAGUAAACCCCAAAACGUCAGGCCAAGGUGUAGCAUAUGGAGCGGAUUGAAAUGGGCUACAUUUUCUAUUACAGAACAUUGCGAAUUACACAAUGAAACAUGUGUAUGAAGACGGAUUUAGUAGUAAAAAGCAAAUA